rnacentral:tRNA from 1 species
UAACGGUCAGUAUGCCUGUCUGUCACACAGGAGACCGGGGUUCGACUCCCCG